rnacentral:tRNA from 1 species
GGAAGGAUGGCCGAGUGGUUUAAGGCGUAGCACCGGAAAUGCUAAGUAGAUUAAUGUUUACCGAGGGUUCGAAUCCCUCUCCUUCCU